GCUCUAUUCCAGAAGCAGUCUGGAGCACAAAGAAUCCCUAAUCACUGACAUUAAGAAAGAAGAAAAAUAUUCCUAGGACGAUCCUGGAGAGCAAAGGUCAUCAGCAGUCACUUGACUUUCCUUGGAUUUCUCAACUGCAAUAGUCACAUGGUCUGCUGAAAAUGAAUUCUCUUUAUUUUCAUCUGAUUUCAAGGAAUUAUGGUUUUCAGUGAUUUCUUCAUUUGGAUCUAUUUUGAGACAGAGUAAUAGCAUUAAAACCCCCUUCUGAAUUAAUAAGGCAUUUGUUGCUGAAACGCAAAGUGUGACAAGCCAAUGGAGGCCAAGAUUUGAUUUUGAUAGCUCUUCCUACAAUUAUCCUUUGAAGGAAAGCAUAAAGAAGACAGAGAAAGAAGAGACACACACAUGCAGAGAAAACACAGGGAAGAAGGCCACAUGGGAUGAAGGCAGAGAUGGGAAUGAUGCAGCUACAAGCCAGCUACAAGCCAAGGAAUGCCAUGGACUGCCGGCAACCACUAGAAAGAAGC
rnacentral:antisense_RNA from 1 species